rnacentral:rRNA from 1 species
AGGGUUCGAUUAUGGCUCAGGAUAAACGCUAGCGGCAGGCCUUACACAUGCAAGUCGAGGGGUAGAAUGUCUUCGGAUAUUUGAGACCGGCGCACGGGUGCGUAACACGUAUGCAACCUGCCUUUUACUGGGGAAUAGCCCGAAGAAAUUCGGAUUAAUGCCCCAUAUGCUCGCACAAUCGCAUGAUUGAGCGAGGAAAGCUCCGGCGGUAAAAGAUGGGCAUGCGUCCUAUUAGCUUGUUGGUGAGGUAAUGGCUCACCAAGGCUACGAUAGGUAGGGGACCUGAGAGGGUGAACCCCCACACUGGUACUGAGACACGGACCAGACUCCUACGGGAGGCAGCAGUGAGGAAUAUUGGGCAAUGGAGGAAACUCUGACCCAGCCAUGCCGCGUGCAGGAAGACGGCCCUCUGGGUUGUAAACUGCUUUUAUAUGGGAAUAAACCCUUCCACGUGUGGAAGGCUGAAGGUACCAUAAGAAUAAGGAUCGGCUAACUCCGUGCCAGCCGCCGCGGUAAUAC